GCAGAGCUCCGCCCGGGCCUCGGGGCCGCGCAGAGCCCGGACAGCUGCGGGCUCCGACGGGGAGCGAUGCUCCAGCACCGCCUGGAGCGGAGCUUCCCUGCCCUGGAACAGCCGUGGCACACAGGGAAGAGCAGAGAGCCCCGUUCCGGGCGGACUCAUCUGAGGGGCUACAUUAGCUGCAAAAGUCUGUUGGGCUGAUAAAUCCUGAAACUGAACAUUUAUUACUUCAUCACCUGCAUUCUAUUUCAGAAGGGAAUAGUGUAACAAAGUCCCAGAGCAGCAAGCCUGGAGUAAUUAUAAAAUGUAAUCACUGGCUGAGAGCAAACACACCUGAAAUCUGAGCACUGCAGAAGAGUCAGGACUGGAAGAACCAAUCUGUUAUUUUUGACAGUGGCAUGAAACGUAAGUCAGAACAUUCUAACACCAUGAUAGGGAGAAUGAUGUCAGGCCAAAGACUUUUAGCCCAAGUCCAUAAUGAAAGAUAAAGCAAACAUUUUUAAAUACAGCUACAGCCUGAGCAGAACACAUGGAUAAGAGAUUACUGCUCAUGGAGCUUGCAGCUCAAGCUGAGGAAAAAGAAAAAGGAGUAACAGCAAGCAUGACAUGGGAACCAGGUAAUAAAUUACAACAGAUGCCUGGUUAAAUCUUUAGGCAACUAUUUGUUAUCUGAACAUUUUACAUGACUUUCCUUUCCUCUUCAGUAAUAAAGGUGUAAAAAUGAAUGAAUUUCAGCUCUACAAAGCAAAUUAGCUGGUCUCUUCCUAAGCAUGAAGCUUGACUCAUCCCCUUGCUCUUUGUUGAACUGCCAAUAAAACUUCAUAAACACUCCUU